CGGCGAGUAGCGCAGCUUGGUAGCGCAACUGGUUUGGGACCAGUGGGUCGGAGGUUCGAAUCRUCUCUCGCCGACCA
rnacentral:tRNA from 1 species